AAUCUUCCGCAAUGGGCGAAAGCCUGGCGGAGCAACGCUGCGUGAACGAAGAAGGCCUUCACAUCGUAAAGUUCUGUCCUCAGGGAAGCACGCUCAUGGGAGGAAAUCCGCAUGAUCUGACGGGAGCUGGGAAGGAAGCCCUGGCGAACUACGUGCCAGCGGCCGCGGUAAUACGUAGAGGGCAAGCGUUGUCCGGAAUUACUGGGCGUAAAGGGUACGCAGGCGGAUAUAUAAGUCAAAUGUGAAAGGCACCGGCUCAACCGGUGAGCGGCAUUUGAAACUGUAUAUCUUGAGUUCAGGAGAGGAGAGCGGAAUUCCUGGUGUAGCGGUGGAAUGCGUAGAUAUCAGGAAGAACACCAGUGGCGAAGGCGGCUCUCUGGCCUGAAACUGACGCUCAGGUACGAAAGCUGGGGGAGCGAACG
rnacentral:rRNA from 1 species